rnacentral:rRNA from 1 species
UACGUAGGGUGCGAGCGUUGCCCGGAUUUAUUGGGCGUAAAGAGCUCGUAGGUGGUUUGUCGCGUUGUUCGUGAAAACUCACAGCUUAACUGUGGGCGUGCGGGCGAUACGGGCAGACUGGAGUACUGCAGGGGAGACUGGAAUUCCUGGUGUAGCGGUGGAAUGCGCAGAUAUCAGGAGGAACACCGGUGGCGAAGGCGGGUCUCUGGGCAGUAACUGACGCUGAGGAGCGAAAGCGUGGGGAGCGAACAGG